UACGUAGGUGGCAAGCGUUGUCCGGAUUUAUUGGGUUUAAAGGGUGCGUAGGCGGCCUAUUAAGUCAGUGCUGAAAUAUCCCGGCUUAACCGGGAGGGUGGCAUUGAUACUGAUGGGCUUGAGUAAAGUUGAGGUAGGCGGAAUUGACGGUGUAGCGGUGAAAUGCUUAGAUAUCGUCAAGAACACCUAUUGCGAAGGCAGCUUACUAAGCUUUAACUGACGCUGAUGCACGAAAGUGCGGGGAUCAAACAGG
rnacentral:rRNA from 1 species